GUUUAUACCCUGGAACAUUCUUGCCACUUCACGUGACUUUGCGGGCAGUGGUCAAGCAGACCAUAGACUUGAUUGUCUCCCUCAUGCAGAGCAUGGUGGCAGCUUGUUCUGGAGAUAGUUCAGAGCCCCUUCUCUUGUCACAUCUGCAUAUGCUGUGUGUGCUGGGAUUACAGGUCUGCGCCAUCAGACCUGCCACCACAUCUGGAUGCUGCUGGGACCUCCAUCUUACCUGAGGUCCAGGAUCAAUUCUCCAGAAUGGUGCCACCCACAGUGGACUGGGCCCUCUCAUACCAAUCAUCAAUCAAGAAAAUGUCCUGCAGACUUGCCUACGGGCCAAUUGGAUGAGGCAUUUUUCUCAGUUAAGAUUGCUUCUUUCCAGAUCAUCUCAGCUUGUGUCAAGAAGACAAAAAGCAACCACCGCAGGGCCUUCAUCUAAUUUCCCAGUGGAAACUAGAGAGUUAAACAUUUUCUAUUACAAAAAUUUCAGACAUACAUCACAAUAAACAUCGUAAAAAUAA